GCCCGAUUAGCUCAGCUGGUUAGAGCGUCGUACUAAUAUACUCACCAAAGUAUAUCGAGUCAUGCGAAGGUCAACAGUUCAAUCCUGUUAUUGGGCA